rnacentral:pre_miRNA from 9 species
UCUCGAUAGCGUAAAAGUUAACUCAUGUUUGUGUGGAGUUGGAUCGUUUGCCUACGUUUGCCGCUAGGGGCGCUGUUCCAACUGCACACUUUGAGUUAACUUUUACGCUAUCGA